GGUGAACGCUGGCGGCGUGCCUAAGACAUGCAAGUCGAGCGGGGCAGGUUUAUACCUGUUCAGCGGCGGACGGGUGAGUAACGCGUGGGUGACCUACCCGGAAGAGGCGGACAACCUGGGGAAACCCAGGCUAAUCCGCCAUGUGGUCCUGUCCUGUGGGGCAGGACUAAAGGGGCGACCCGCUUCCGGAUGGGCCCGCGUCCCAUCAGCUAGUUGGUGGGGUAAAGGCCCACCAAGGCGACGACGGGUAGCCGGUCUGAGAGGAUGGCCGGCCACAGGGGCACUGAGACACGGGCCGCACUACUACGGGAGGCAGCAGUUAGGAAUCUGCAGCAAUGGACGGAAGUCGGACGGAGCGACGCCGCUUGGAGGGGGAAGCACUGCGGGGUGUAAACUCCUGAACUGGGGACGAAAGCCCCGUGUAGGGGGAUGACGGGACCCAGGUAAUAGCGCCGGCCAACUCCGUG
rnacentral:rRNA from 1 species